UGGGGAAUAUUGGACAAUGGGGGCAACCCUGAUCCAGCAAUGCCGCGUGAGUGAUGAAGGCCUUAGGGUUGUAAAGCUCUUUUGCCAGGGAAGAUGAUGACUGUACCUGGAGAAUAAGCCCCGGCUAACUUCGUGCCAGCAGCCGCGGUAAUACGAAGGGGGCUAGCGUUGUUCGGAAUUACUGGGCGUAAAGGGCGCGUAGGCGGCCAUUUAAGUUAGGUGUGAAAGUCCUGGGCUCAACCUGGGGACUGCACUUAAUACUGAGUGGCUUGAAUUCGGGAGAGGAUAGCGGAAUUCCCAGUGUAGAGGUGAAAUUCGUAGAUAUUGGGAAGAACACCGGUGGCGAAGGCGGCUAUCUGGACCGACAUUGACGCUGAGGCGCGAAAGCGUGGGGAGCAAACAGG
rnacentral:rRNA from 1 species